CCCUAGCCCUGAUGGGAGCGACAUCCUUUUGCGCCGGUCCCGAUAGCUAUCGGGAGGCACAAAAGAUAUAGCGGACAGCAAGAAUCAGC
rnacentral:sRNA from 1 species